rnacentral:rRNA from 1 species
AACGAACGCUGGCGGCAUGCCUAACACAUGCAAGUCGAACGGGAUCCUGGCUUCGGUCAGGUGAGAGUGGCGGACGGGUGAGUAACGCGUGGGAACCUGCCCAGUGGUGGGGGAUAACUGCGGGAAACUGCAGCUAAUACCGCAUGAGCCCGAGAGGGGAAAGAUUUAUCGCCAUUGGAGGGGCCCGCGUUCGAUUAGGUAGUUGGUGAGGUAACGGCUCACCAAGCCGACGAUCGAUAGCUGGUCUGAGAGGAUGAUCAGCCACACUGGGACUGAGAUACGGCCCAGACUCCUACGGGAGGCAGCAGUGGGGAAUAUUGGACAAUAGGGGCGAACCCUCGAUCCAGCAAUAGCGCGUGAGUGAUGAAGG